UACGGGGGGGGUAAGCGUUGUUCGGAAUUACUGGGCGUAAAGGGCUCGUAGGCGGCCAACUAAGUCAUACGUGAAAUCCCUCGGCUCAACCGAGGAACUGCAUCCGAUACUGGCGGGCUUGAAUCCGGGAGAGGGAUGUGGAAUUCCAGGUGUAGCGGUGAAAUGCGUAGAUAUCUGGAGGAACACCGGUGGCGAAGGCGGCAUCCUGGACCGGUAUUGACGCUGAGGCGCGAAAGCUAGGGGAGCAAACGGG
rnacentral:rRNA from 1 species